rnacentral:rRNA from 1 species
ACUAUCGUUAACUGAAUACAUAGGUUAACGAGGCGAACCGGGGGAACUGAAACAUCUAAGUACCCCGAGGAAAAGAAAUCAACCGAGAUUCCCCCAGUAGCGGCGAGCGAACGGGGAGCAGCCCAGAGUCUGAAUCAGCUUGUGUGUUAGUGGAACGGUCUGGAAAGUCCGACGGUACAGGGUGAUAGUCCCGUACACCAAAAUGCACAGGCUGUGAACUCGAAGAGUAGGGCGGGACACGUGGUAUCCUGUCUGAAUAUGGGGGGACCAUCCUCCAAGGCUAAAUACUCCUGACUGACCGAUAGUGAACCAGUACCGUGAGGGAAAGGCGAAAAGAACCCCGGCGAGGGGAGUGAAAAAGAACCUGAAACCGUGUACGUACAAGCAGUGGGAGCACCUUCGGGUGUGACUGCGUACCUUUUGUAUAAUGGGUCAGCGACUUAUAUUCUGUAGCAAGGUUAACC